GUAUUGGCUUACCGUGGCAGUGACGGUUAACGGGGGAUUAGGGUUCAAUUCCGGAGAGGGAGCCUGAGAAACGGCUUACCACAUCUAAGGAAGGCAGCAGGCGCGCAAAUUACCCAAUUCUAACAGCAUAAGAGAGGUAGUGACAAGAAAUAACAGUACAAGGCAGUUAAAAUGCUUUGUAAUUGGAAUGAUAGAAAUUUAAAUACUUUUUAAAGUAUCAAUUGGAGGGCAAGUCUGGUGCCAGCAGCCGCGGUAAUUCCAGCUCCAAUAGCGUAUAUUAAAAUUGUUGCAGUUAAAAAGCUCGUAGUUGAAUUUUUGCUAAAAAUAACCGGUCUGCUUUUAUUAAUAAAAGUGGUAUCUUGGUGUGUUUCUAGCAAUAAUGUCCUUUGAAAUGUUUUUUACUUUAUUGUAAAAAGCAAUUUUCAGGAUUUUUACUUUGAGAAAAUUAGAGUGUUUCAAGCAGGCUAACGUUUUGAAUACUGCAGCAUGGAAUAAUAAAAUAGGAUUUUAGUUCUACGUUAUUGGUUUUAAGAACUAAAUUAAGAUUGAUAGGAGCAGUGGGGGCAUUUGAUGGCUNNA
rnacentral:rRNA from 1 species